UUACCCGCUGAGUUUAAG
rnacentral:snRNA from 1 species